rnacentral:rRNA from 1 species
GAUGAACGCUGGCGGCGUGCCUAAUACAUGCGAGUCGAGCGAACAGACGAGGAGCUUGCUCCUCUGACGUUAGCGGCGGGCGGGUGAGUAACACGUGGAUAACCUACCUAUAAGACUGGGAUAACUUCGGGAAACCGGAGCUAAUACCGGAUAAUAUAUUGAACCGCAUGGUUCAAUAGUGAAAGACGGUUUUGCUGUCACUUAUAGAUGGAUCCGCGCCGCAUUAGCUAGUUGGUAAGGUAACGGCUUACCAAGGCAACGAUGCGUAGCCGACCGGAGAGGGUGAUCGGCCACACUGGAACUGAGACACGGUCCAGACUCCUACGGGAGGCAGCAGUAGGGAAUCUUCCGCAAUGGGCGAAAGCUUGACGGAGCAACGCCGCGUGAGUGAUGAAGGUCUUCGGAUCGUAAAACUCUGUUAUUAGGGAAGAACAAAUGUGUAAGUAACUAUGCACGUCUUGACGGUACCUAAUCAGAAAGCCACGGCUAACUACGUG